rnacentral:tRNA from 1 species
UCCUCAUUGGUCUAGUGGGUAUGUUGGUCCGACAUUGACACCGAGUUUGACGAGCGCGGGAGACCUGGGUUCGAUUCCCAGAUGGGGAG